rnacentral:rRNA from 1 species
CCUACGGGUGGCAGCAGUGAGGAAUAUUGGUCAAUGGGCGCGAGCCUGAAGCAGCCAAGUCGCGUGAAGGAUGAAUGCCCUACGGGCUGUAACCUUCUUUUAUAAAGGAAUACAGUGAGGCACGUGUUCCUUUUUGAAUGUAUUUUAUGAAUAAGGGUCGGCUAACUCCGUGCCAGCAGCCGCGGUAAUACGGAGGGUCCGAUCGUUAUCCGGAUUUAUUGGGUUUAAAGGGAGCGUAGAUGGGUUGUUAAGUCAGUUGUGAAAGUUUGCGGCUCAACCGUAAAAUUGCAAUUGAUACUGGCAGCCUUGAGUACAGUUGAGGUAGGCGGAAUUCGUGGUGUAGCGGUGAAAUGCUUAGAUAUCACGAAGAACUCCGAUUGCGAAGGCAGCCUACUAAACUGCCACUGACAUUGAUGCUCGAAAGUGUGGGUAGCAAACAGGAUUAGAUACCCUUGUAGUC